ensembl:snoRNA
AUGACUACCUGACAGACCUGGAGCAGUUACUGUCUGCUGCUCAGCUUUCCACUACAGAUCCAAGAAGAAAGUAUCCUUGUACUUUCUGUCUGUCUGAUUGUGGCAGCCAAGAUUGAAUGGGGGAAUACAGGG